GGUCAAGUUAAAAAGAGCACUAGGUGAAUGCCUAGGCACCAAGAGGCGAAGAAGGACGCGACAAGCUGCGAAAAGCUACGGAGAGGAGCAAAUAUCCUAUGACCCGUAGAUAUCCGAAUGGGGAAACCCACCUCGUAAGAGGUAUCCUAUAGCCAAUUCAUAACUAUAGGAAGCGAACCAGGUGAACUGAAACAUCUAAGUAACCUGAGGAAAAGAAAGAAAACUCGAUUCCCUAAGUAGCGGCGAGCGAACGGGGAAGAGCCCGAUGUGUAUAAAGAGACAAUAGCCAGCCAAAUAAUCUGGGAAGAUUAACCAAAGAAGGUAAGAGUCCUGUAGACGAAAGCGAAGAUAUCCGACACAAAAGAGUACCACGGAACACGAGAAAUUCAGUGGGAAUAUGGGGGGACCACCCCCUAAGGCUAAAUACUACUUGGUGACCGAUAGCGAACAAGUACCGUGAGGGAAAGGUGAAAAGAACCCCGUGAGGGGAGUGAAAUAGAAUCUGAAACCUAGUGUUUACAAGCAGCGAAAGUGGUUUUGCACCACGAUCGUGUACUUUUUGUAGAACGGGCCAGCGAGUUACGAUUACUAGCGAGGUUAAGCAUUAAAGAUGCGGAGCCGAAGCGAAAGCGAGUCUAAAUAGGGCGGAAGUUAGUGGUUGUAGACCCGAAACCGUGUGAUCUAUCCAUGAGCAGAGUGAAGUUGAAGUAAAAUUCAAUGGAGGCUCGAACCGGGUAACGUUUAAAAGUUAUCGGAUGACUUGUGGAUAGGGGUGAAAAGCCAAACGAACACGGAGAUAGCUGGUUCUCCUCGAAAUAGCUUUAGGGCUAGCCUCUAGUAAGACAUGAAAAGGGGGUAGAGCACUGAUUGGUCAAGGGGCAUGCAUAUGUUACCAAGACCUAUCAAACUCCGAAUACCAUAUCAUGCACUAGGGAGUCAGACUAUGUGGGAUGAGCUUCAUAGUCGAAAGGGAAAGAGCCCAGACCAUCAGCUAAGGUCCCAAAAUUAUAGUUAAGUGGGAAAGGAUGUGGAGUUACUGAGACAACUAGGAUGUUGGCUUAGAAGCAGCCACUCAUUUAAAGAGUGCGUAAUAGCUCACUAGUCAAGUGACUCUGCGCCGAAGAUAACCGGGGCUAAACUAUAUACCGAAGCUAUGGAACGUAUAACGUUGGUAGAGGAGCAAUGUAUGAAGGACGAAGCAGAAGCUGUAAGGCACUGUGGACAUCAUACAAGAGAGAAUGCUGGCAUGAGUAGCGAGAGGUGAGUGAGAAUCUCACCCGUCGAAAACCCAAGGAUUCCUGAGCAAGGCUCGUCCACUCAGGGUAAGUCGGGACCUAAGGCGAGGCUGAAAAGCGUAGUCGAUGGACAACAGGUGGAAAUUCCUGUACCGAUACAAUCAUUAAAGGAAGUGGGGACGCAGAAGGAUAAUAAGAGCGCCCAGUUGGUGAGGCGUGCAAGCGCAAAGGAUGGAAAGUAGGCAAAUCCGCUUUCCGAGAAGUCUGAAGCGUAAUGCGGAUCGAAAACAAGUAGAGAAGCUUAUGACUCCACACUGCCAAGAAAAGCCACUACUAGAGAAGUAUCGCCCGUACCGUAAACCGACACAGGUAGGUGAGGAGAGAAUCCUAAGACGAGCGGAAAAACCUUUGUUAAGGAACUCGGCAAAAUGACCCCGUAACUU
rnacentral:rRNA from 1 species